GUGCUUGACGGCGUGCCUAAUACAUGCAGUCGAGCGGACCGACGGGAGCUUGCUCCCUUAGGUCAGCGGCGGACGGGUGAGUAACACGUGGGUAACCUGCCUGUAAGACUGGGAUAACUCCGGGAAACCGGGGCUAAUACCGGAUGCUUGAUUGAACCGCAUGGUUCAAUCAUAAAAGGUGGCUUUUAGCUACCACUUACAGAUGGACCCGCGGCGCAUUAGCUAGUUGGUGAGGUAACGGCUCACCAAGGCGACGAUGCGUAGCCGACCUGAGAGGGUGAUCGGCCACACUGGGACUGAGACACGGCCCAGACUCCUACGGGAGGCAGCAGUAGGGAAUCUUCCGCAAUGGACGAAAGUCUGACGGAACAACGCCGCGUGAGUGAUGAAGGUUUUCGGAUCGUAAAACUCUGUUGUUAGGGAAGAACAAGUACCGUUCGAAUAGGGCGGUACCUUGACGGUACCUAACCAGAAAGCCACGGCUAACUACGUGCCAGCAGCCGCGGUAAUACGUAGGUGGCAAGCGUUGUCCGGAAUUAUUGGGCGUAAAGCGCGCGCAGGCGGUUUCUUAAGUCUGAUGUGAAAGCCCCCGGCUCAACCGGGGAGGGUCAUUGGAAACUGGGGAACUUGAGUGCAGAAGAGGAGAGUGGAAUUCCACGUGUAGCGGUGAAAUGCGUAGAGAUGUGGAGGAACACCAGUGGCGAAGCGACUCUCUGGUCUGUAACUGACGCUGAGCGCGAAAGCGUGGGGAGCGAACAGGAUUAGAU
rnacentral:rRNA from 1 species